ensembl:lncRNA
AAUGUCACUGGUUAUUCCCCUUUUCCUGAAGUCAGUAUUGGACGCCUGUUAUAAGAUGAUUAAUAAUUCACUUGACUUGACACAUGGCUUCAUCAGUGGACCAGAUACAUGUCGUGUACGUGAAUGCAGAAAAUAACAACCGGGCCUCAACAUCAUACCUAUUCUUCUCAGAAGGAAUCCAGAAAUUUGGCAUACUGUCAAGGCAAGUACAGUGAAGAAAAAAACAUUUGAUUUUUUUUUCUUCUGGAAAUGUAUUGCAUUUUUUUCUUUAAACCAGGGUAAUGGGAGACCAAGGACUGGAGGAUGUACAGAUUGCCAGGUUCAGGUUUUCUUCAAGAGGCACUGAGCAACAUAGUUUCAUAUCUGGUAAAAGUGUCCAUAAUCAAACGAUUGAAUGCAUUUGGUGUGAUGUCAGAAUCAAGGACUCAGACAUGCUGCACUUGCUGGAGGCUGAAGGAAUGCUCGACUUAUUGAGGACCUGUUUAGUGUACAGUACACUUUUCUCUCAAGCAUCCAGGCAGACUUGAACACAUUUGCAGAAGCCUGGACUCUUCAUGCACUCUCCUCAGAAGGCAGUCGAAGCUCAGAGCAGCUGUGGCACAUUGGACUGACACACACAAAAUGUACUAAUCUGAGAGAUAUGAGGUAUGGAGACCCUGCUGUCUUUACUCUGUCUCCACACUGCUGUUUAUGCAUUAGUCUAAGUGGAUUUUUAACUAUGUAUUUAACUGCUUAAUCAUUAGGAUAUUGAAGAGCCAAAUCUAGAUGGUGCAUAGCAGCUUCUUAUUAUGCCUGUGAAGAUUUAUAUUUACAUUUUCAUUUAGCAGACACUUUUAUCCAAAGCGGCUUACAGAUAAGGACAGUGGAAGCAAUCAAAAUCAACAAAAGAGCAAUAAUA